rnacentral:rRNA from 1 species
AUGGAAAGUGCUCAUAGAGACGAUGAGAACGGUCAGUUUGCAAAACUGGACAUCAGUCUUGCCAAAAUGUCCUUUGAGCGAAUGGCCAAUAUUUUUAAGCGGGAACAAGAAAUGGACUCUUACACUCAGAGCUUGACAGCUCUCCUUCUCAAUGAUGAGGUGAAAGGUCAACUUGCAAGUUUGAUGAACCUGCUGGAUGAAGAAGGCUUUUUCAGCAUCGAUGAUGAUUCUAUUGAUUGGGAUAAGGAAUCGUUUACGAAAUUAGUGGAGGAAUUUAAUGCUUUGACUGGCCAUUGCUUUGAUGGAUGUUAUGCAAUCCAAGCAAUAAUGGAUCUUCAAGAAUUCUUACCGAGAAAGGAUGAUGAUACAUGUCAUGACGUUGUUAGAAUGGUUGAUUAUGUAAACAAGGCAUGGAAGGGAAAUCUUGAGCAUUUUUACAGGGACACAAGUUAUUAUGAACAUGAAUACUAUGAUAUGCUUAGACAACCUCCUAAAAAGGUGUUUAAAUUGGGCGAUUUGUAG